rnacentral:rRNA from 1 species
GAUGAACGCUGGCGGCGUGCCUAAUACAUGCAAGUCGAGCGAACAGACGAGGAGCUUGCUCCUCUGCCGUUAGCGGCGGACGGGUGAGUAACACGUGGAUAACCUACCUCUAUUACUGGGAUAACUUCGUGAAACCGGUGCUACUACCAGAUAAUAUAUUGAACCGCAUGGUUCAAUAGUGAAAGACGGUUUUGCUGUCACUUAUAGAUGGAUCCGCGCCGCAUUAGCUAGUUGGUAAGGUAACGGCUUACCAAGGCGACGAUGCGUAGCCGACCUGAGAGGGUGAUCGGCCACACUGGAACUGAGACACGGUCCAGACUCCUACGGGAGGCAGCAGUAGGGAAUCUUCCGCAAUGGGCGAAAGCCUGACGGAGCAACACCGCGUGAGUGAUGAAGGUCUUCGGAUCGUAAAACUCUGUUAUUAGGGAAGAACAAAUGUGUAUGUAACUAUGCACGUCUUGACGGUACCUAAUCAGAAAGCCACGGCUAACUACGUG